UACGAAGGGAGCUAGCGUUGUUCGGAAUCACUGGGCGUAAAGCGCACGUAGGCGGACUUGUCAGUCAGGGGUGAAAUCCCGGAGCUCAACUUCGGAACUGCCUCUGAUACAGCAAGUCUUGAGUCCGGAAGAGGUGGGUGGAAUUCCUAGUGUAGAGGUGAAAUUCGUAGAUAUUAGGAAGAACACCGGUGGCGAAGGCGGCCCACUGGUCCGGUACUGACGCUGAGGUGCGAAAGCGUGGGGAGCAAACAGG
rnacentral:rRNA from 1 species